rnacentral:rRNA from 1 species
GCUGGCGGCGCGCUUAACACAUGCAAGUCGCACGAGAAAGCGGGAGCAAUCCUGCAAGUACAGUGGCGUACGGGUGAGUAACACGUGGAUUAUCUGCCCUGGAGUGGGGAAUAACGCUGGGAAACCGGCGCUAAUACCGCAUAUUCCCGAGAGGGGAAAGCAGCAAUGCGCUCGAGGAGGAGUCCGCGGCUGAUUAGCUAGUUGGUAGGGUAACGGCCUACCAAGGCUAUGAUCGGUAGCCGGCCUGAGAGGGCACACGGCCACACUGGCACUGAAACACGGGCCAGACUCCUACGGGAGGCAGCAGUGGGGAAUCUUGCACAAUGGGGGCAACCCUGAUGCAGCGACGCCGCGUGAGCGAUGAAGCCCUUCGGGGUGUAAAGCUCUUUCGGCAGGGAAGAUUAUGACGGUACCUGCAGAAGCAGCUGCGGCUAACUACGUGCCAGCAGCCGCGGUAAUACGUAGGCAGCAAGCGUUGUUCGGAGUUACUGGGCGUAAAGGGUGUGUAGGCGGCCUUCUAAGUUUGGUGUGAAAUCUCCCGGCUCAACCGGGAGGGUGCGCCGAAGACUGGGGGGCUAGAGUGCGGGAUGGGAGA